GGGGGUGCGGUCUUGGUUGAGAACAUAGGCUAUCCUCUUGAAAUUCAAGAUGAUCUUAAGAUUCCAUAGCCAAUCCUUAAAGUUUGGUUCGGUCAAUCAGUUGGUCUCUAGGAUCUUGGCAAGAGGGUUUGAAGUAGUCAUUUCUUACAGAGAGAUGAAGGUUCUAGUUAGAUUUUGUAAUUGACUUAAUUAGUUUAUUUUAAAAAUUUUAUUAUCAAAAUAAAUUUGGGAUCCCACUAUUUUCUUGGAUCCUUUACACUUCCUGGGUAGAGAAACAAAAACUUUCAUGAUUAAGGAUUUUUAGUAGGUGCUACGGUCUCACCGAUUGACUCACCACCUCAUCUAACAGUUAUUGAUGAUGGGUCAGUUGAUAGUUGGAUAACUCUUGUCUAAUAUUUCUCCAAAUAUGUUGCAGCCAAUCUCGAUCUCUAAUUCAUGAAACUUCAUCGUGUCCAGAAUAUUAGCCCACUCAUUGGUUAUGUCAAACCCAUCGUUUACACAAAAUGGAGUCAUUAUUGGGUCCCUCACCAUGUCCAAACUAUUGAGUCCAACCCC
rnacentral:lncRNA from 1 species